rnacentral:tRNA from 1 species
GCCUCAGUAGCUCAGCUGGUAGAGCAUCUGACUUGUAUGUAUAAGGAAAUCAGAAGGUCGGGAGUUCAAAUCUCUCCUGAGGCU